ACGGGUGAGUAAUGCCUAGGAAUCUGCCUGGUAGUGGGGGACAACGUCUCGAAAGGGACGCUAAUACCGCAUACGUCCUACGGGAGAAAGCAGGGGACCUUCGGGCCUUGCGCUAUCAGAUGAGCCUAGGUCGGAUUAGCUAGUUGGUGAGGUAAUGGCUCACCAAGGCGACGAUCCGUAACUGGUCUGAGAGGAUGAUCAGUCACACUGGAACUGAGACACGGUCCAGACUCCUACGGGAGGCAGCAGUGGGGAAUAUUGGACAAUGGGCGAAAGCCUGAUCCAGCCAUGCCGCGUGUGUGAAGAAGGUCUUCGGAUUGUAAAGCACUUUAAGUUGGGAGGAAGGGCAGUAAGCGAAUACCUUGCUGUUUUGACGUUACCGACAGAAUAAGCACCGGCUAACUCUGUGCCAGCAGCCGCGGUAAUACAGAGGGUGCAAGCGUUAAUCGGAAUUACUGGGCGUAAAGCGCGCGUAGGUGGUUUGUUAAGUUGAAUGUGAAAUCCCCGGGCUCAACCUGGGAACUGCAUCCAAAACUGGCAAGCUAGAGUAGGGCAGAGGGUGGUGGAAUUUCCUGUGUAGCGGUGAAAU
rnacentral:rRNA from 1 species